ACGUCAGCAUCUGGCGGUGGGGCGCGGGGCGCCAUGGGAGUCCCGAAGGCGGGGCGGCCUCGCCCUCCCGUCUGGUCCCGUCCCCGCCCCGGCCCCUCUGGAAGCGCACGUGGACGCCAAGGUUCCGGGUGGACACUCAGCAGCCGGGAAGCCGGGGCUGGGGUCGUGGAGAAAUCUCAGUGUAGGCUGCACUCCGACUUCCGACCAUUCGCUUCAGCAGAGUACAGAACUUUGGAAAGUCGCAGCCAUUGUGCAACCUGCUGAUGUGGGCCUUGACCCGUCGUGGCCUUGGGACUCCCUGCCGUCCUGCGUAUCACCGGGAUCUAGUGCUUAAUCCAGAACCCAGAAAAGACUAGAAGAGGAUGUCUGAUCCCUUGGAACUGGAGUUAUGGAUGGCUGUUAGCUGCCGUAUGGGUGCUAAGAACCGAGGUCCUCUGUAAGAGCAGCAAAUGCUCUUAACUGGUGCACUAUCUCUCCAGAUCCCUGUUUGCAAAAGAGCUGCUUCAGCUCCUGCACUGGAAGAAAAGAAGACAAGAAAAAGGAGAAGGAAAACCCAGAACCAGAAAUAGCUGCCCUUUUUUACCAGGAAAGCACAAGUUUUCCCAGAAGCAUCUAUUAGAAGGCCUCUCUUCACUGCAGAGGUAGCUGAGAUGCCAUUUAGAAUGACAAGAGGCCAGGAAUCAAGAAUGGGUACUAAACUGGCCUCAUCACCAGGCCUCUUUUUUGUUCUGGCCCUGUUCUGCCUUCUUAGAACUCUGGACUAUUCCCUAGCCCCACGGACCUUAUUCAAGAUAGAAUCCUGGUCCAUUGAUUACUCUGGACUUAAAAAGCCAAAAGCAGUGAGUUGUGUUUCACCUCUGGACCAAGGCUCUCACUUCCCAGGCAGGCUCCCUCUACCUCCUUCAAGGAGAGUGCAGGCCAAGGAGGCUGGACUUCCCCCACCUCACCUUUUGUCUGUGGAAAUACCACCUGUCCACUCAAGGACAUAAUCCAGGGUUGCAUUGCCCUGAGUUGCUCACUGUGACUCCAGCAGUUCUAGCCACACUAGAAGUCACUUCAGACACACUCUGGGCUUCCCAUCCCAGUACAUUUGCUCAUCUAGUUCCUUCUACGUGCAGCAACCUUCUAGGGCUCAGUUCAGGCACAGCCCUUUCUUAUAAAAUCUUCUGAACCACCUCCAACCAGAAAUGACUUCUCCCUCCUCUGUAUCCCCAUGAAAGUAUAAGGACCUGUGUUCCAAUCCCCAGAACCGAUGUAAAAAGCCGAGCGUGGUGGCUCACACUGCAAUCCCAGCUAUGGUGAAUGGGAGGUCAGUGGAUCCCUAGAACUUGUUGGCCACUUAGCUUAGCCUACUUGGUGAAAGCACAGGACAAUAAGAGACCCUGUCCCAAACAAAAGAUGGAAGACAUCUGAGCAACAACACCCUAGGCUGUCCUCUGACCUCCAUAGCCACAUGCACAUACCUGUUCACAUACACAUUAAUGCACACAUAUACACAUACACAAUAAAAAAGUAAAAAUAAAGGAUUUAUUCUUCUAGAAACACUCUUGUAACAAACUCUGUCAGUCAGGUUUCUCCAGGGAAACAAAACUAAAAGAGUGUGUACAUGAUCAGAGUCUCUAAUCUGUCUGUUGAUUUAAUUUAAGGAGUUAACUCUUUUUUAAAAGAUUUUUAUUGGGCUGCAGAAAUGGCUCAGUGGUUAAGAACACUGGUUGUUCUUGCAGAAGACCCAGGUUCAAAUCCCAGCACCCACAUGGCAGCUAACAACUGUC